AACGAACGCUGGCGGCAUGCCUAACACAUGCCAGUCGAACGAGACCUUCGGGUCUAGUGGCGCACGGGUGCGUAACGCGUGGGAACCUGCCCUUAGGUUCGGAAUAACUCCCCGAAAGGGGUGCUAAUACCGGAUAAUGUCUUCGGACCAAAGAUUUAUCGCCUUUGGAUGGGCCCGCGUUGGAUUAGCUAGUUGGUAGGGUAAAAGCCUACCAAGGCGACGAUCCAUAGCUGGUCUGAGAGGAUGAUCAGCCACACUGGGACUGAGACACGGCCCAGACUCCUACGGGAGGGAGCAGUGGGGAAUAUUGGACAAUGGGCGAAAGCCUGAUCCAGCAAUGCCGCGUGAGUGAUGAAGGCCUUAGGGUUGUAAAGCUCUUUUAACCGGGAUGAUAAUGACAGUACCGGGAGAAUAAGCCCCGGCUAACUCCGUG
rnacentral:rRNA from 1 species